UUUUAACAGUUUUUAUUCCUCUCAAAUAAUGUCGUUUUUUAUAUUUUAACAAACUUAGGUAUACACAGCAUUAAUGUGCUGCUACCCUCUUCUCUAUGAAAGAUUACACGGUGUAGAUCUUAGGUAUACACAGCAUUAAUGUGCUGCUGCCCUCUUCUCUAUGGAAGAUUACACGGUGUAGAUC